AACGUACGCUGGCGGCACGCCUAACACAUGCAAGUCGAACGAAGUAGCAAUACUUAGUGGCAGACGGGUGAGUAACAUGUAGGUAUCUGCCCUUUGGCCUGGAAUAACACGAGGAAACUUGUGCUAAUACCGGAUAAGUCUUUACGGAGAAAGCUUUAUGCACCAUUGGAUGAGCCUGCACUUGAUUAGUUUGUUGGUGGGGUAAUGGCCUACCAAGACUGUGAUCAAUAGCUGAUUUGAGAGGAUGAUCAGCCACAUUGGGACUGAGACACGGCCCAAACUCCUACGGGAGGCAGCAGUGGGGAAUCUUGCACAAUGGAGGAAACUCUGAUGCAGCGAUGCCGCGUGAGUGAAGAAGGCCCUUGGGUUGUAAAGCUCUUUCGUCGGGGAAGAAAAUGACUGUACCCGAAUAAGAAGGUCCGGCUAACUUCGUGCCAGCAGCCGCGGUAAUACGAAGGGACCUAGCGUAGUUCGGAAUUACUGGGCUUAAAGAGUUCGUAGGUGGUUGAAAAAGUUAGUGGUGAAAUCCCAGAGCUUAACUCUGGAACUGCCAUUAAAACUUUUCAGCUAGAGUAUGAUAGAGGAAAGCAGAAUUUCUAGUGUAGAGGUGAAAUUCGUAGAUAUUAGAAAGAAUACCAAUUGCGAAGGCAGCUUUCUGGAUCAUUACUGACACUGAGGAACGAAAGCAUGGGUAGCGAAGAGGAUUAGAUACCCUCGUAGUCCAUGCCGUAAACGAUGUGUGUUAGACGUUGGAAAUUUAUUUUCAGUGUCGCAGGGAAACCGAUAAACACACCGCCUGGGGAGUACGACCGCAAGGUUAAAACUCAAAUGAAUUGACGGGGACCCGCACAAGUAGUGGAGCAUGUGGUUUAAUUCGAAGAUACGCGCAGAACCUUACCAACACUUGACAUGUUCGUCGCGACUCUAAGAGAUUAGAGUUUUCGGUUCGGCCGGACGAAACACAGGUGCUGCAUGGCUGUCGUCAGCUCGUGUCGUGAGAUGUUGGGUUAAGUCCCGCAACGAGCGCAACCCUCACUUUUAGUUGCCAUCAUUAAGUUGGGCACUCUGAAAGAACUGCCAGUGAUAAGCUGGAGGAAGGUGGGGAUGACGUCAAGUCCUCAUGGCCCUUACGUGUUGGGCUACACACGUGCUACAAUGGUAUCUACAACAGGAAGCAAGACUGCGAAGUUAAGCAAAUCCUUAAAAGAUACCUCAGUUCGGAUUGCACUCUGCAACUCGAGUGCAUGAAGCUGGAAUUACUAGUAAUCGUGGAUCAGCGUGCCACGGUGAAUGCGUUCCCGGGUCU
rnacentral:rRNA from 1 species